GUGAGGAAUAUUGCGCAAUGGAGGCAACUCUGACGCAGCCAUGCCGCGUGCAGGAAGAAGGCGCUACGCGUUGUAAACUGCUUUUAACCGGGAAGAAACCCCAGGACGUGUCCUGGGUUGACGGUACCGGAGGAAUAAGCACCGGCUAACUUCGUGCCAGCAGCCGCGGUAAUACGAAGGGUGCAAGCGUUAUCCGGAUUCGUUGGGUUUAAAGGGUGCGUAGGCGGAGCGUUAAGUCAGUGGUGAAAUCCUGCAGCUUAACUGUAGACUUGCCAUUGAUACUGGCGCUCUUGAGUGCGCUUGAAGUGGGCGGAAUGUGCCGUGUAGCGGUGAAAUGCUUAGAUAUGGCACAGAACACCAAUUGCGAAGGCAGCUCACUAAGGCGAUACUGACGCUGAGGCACGAAAGCGUGGGGAUCGAACAGGAUUAGAUACCCCGGUAGUCC
rnacentral:rRNA from 1 species